GACGAACGCUGGCGGCGUGCUUAACACAUGCAAGUCGAGCGGUAAGGCCCUUUCGGGGGUACACGAGCGGCGAACGGGUGAGUAACACGUGGGUGACCUGCCCUCAGCUCUGGGAUAAGCCUGGGAAACCGGGUCUAAUACUGGAUAUGACUCCAUGACGCAUGUUGUGGGGUGGAAAGCCUUGUGCGGCUGAGGAUGGGCCCGCGGCCUAUCAGCUUGUUGGUGGGGUGANGGCCUACCAAGGCGACGACGGGUAGCCGGCCUGAGAGGGCGACCGGCCACACUGGGACUGAGACACGGCCCAGACUCCUACGGGAGGCAGCAGUGGGGAAUCUUGCGCAAUGGGCGAAAGCCUGACGCAAGCGACGCCGCGUGAGGGAUGACGGCCU
rnacentral:rRNA from 1 species